CCCAGUACCUAUUUGAGGAAAUACUUCAUAUUUGCGGUGGCCGUAUUGUCUUAACAACUAAAGCCAAUUAUUAGUUUUCUCUUUGAAGGAACAUCUCUGUGUUCUUUGAGUGCAGAACUUUAAACCCUUAACCCGUUGUUUAAUGCCCAGCAAGCCAACUUUUAAUGUUGACCAGUCGUUUAAUCAUUUCGGCCCCUCUUAUUUUCUCCUUUUUCUUUCAUUUUGAAUCAUAAACACUUGCAGGUGAUCACAAGAAAGCUGCAUGGAUACUGAGCAUGUCAUAAUGCACACCUUAACAAAAGAGAUAUACCUAAGCUAAUUGUGGGGUAUAGAACCUGCCAAUCAUAUCAACUAUUUUCCUUUUUCUUUUUUUGCCCAAUCUUCUGUAAUUCUCUUUCUUUGUAAGAGAAAACUCCGCAAAGGAUAAAUUCACCCGCCUUUUCCUGUAUUAAAUACAUGUAUUACCCUCUCUGUCCAGUAGGUGUCUCUCUGUACCAGAUGAAUCUUCCAGUCCCUUGAGAUCCACUACAGAGAGCACUGUAUUAGUUUUCCAGUAGAUCCUUGUUAAUGGUAAAUGAUUAUUGCGUGCGAAUAUAAAUAUUUUGCUACUGGAGUAUAGGAUUAUACCUGUUGUACACCCUUGAGGAGUAAAAUUUUCUUAAUUAAUUAUGUCGUUAAUUUUUUAUUUGUGUUUUAUUUCAGGGAGUAUCUAGGACGCCAACUGGAAAAAGAGCAAGGAUCAACAACUACUACAGCAAAAUCUGCAGCUGGAGUACUCGCUGGUAAAAUAUCAUAAGAUUUUCUGGAAGAAGUUGGCUCCCAAUAGUGGAGAGGAACAAAUGCUGCUGUUAUUUGGUGUCAAUCAAUUCUGGUGCCCUUUUAAUUCUUUCUUGAGAAUGAUUUUUCCUCAAAAGGGACUCAUGCUGAUAUCUUGGCAACUAGUUAUGUAUUAAAAAAGUAUGAUGGUGGCACUUUCUCAACUCAUUUAUUGAACGUAAAUUUUCCAGAUUUGUUGUCUUAAAGUAAAGUCAUCCAUGAAGCAUGAGCUACAAUUCGCUUUAGCUGUAAUUAAACAGUGGCAUGAGGGUGUAAUUAAAGCCUCUGAAAACAUUGUAAAUGUCUCUCCGAUGAAUGCUUAACUUAAGUAUAUGCAUAAACAAUUUUGUUAGUUUAUGAAUUGGUUGGAACUCAAACAAUUUACCAUUCCCCAUUUCGAGUAUAUUUUGUCUAAAUUCUAUUUUAGUCUUUUCCAUAAGAAAGUUCUCUAAAGUAGGUUAAUUUGAAAAUCUGUAGUAGCAUCUUUCAACUGAUAGAGACUUCUUCAAAAGUUGCUGUUUUAAUAGUUGUAAUAUUUUCAUUCUUAUUAGCCUCAACUCAACUUUACAAUUGACAGGGUGUGUUGGGAACAACUACAAAAAUCUAAUACAGCAUUCAUCUUUUUGCGCCAUGCCAAUCAGCUGUGCUUAAAUAUUUUAUUGCUGUAAACUGCAUCUUAUUUGAAAUUGGUCACCUCUAAGCCAGUCAAAUAGGCCAGACCGAAUACUAAACGCAGGAAAGUUCAGAGAUGUUGUUUUUUUUUUUUUGCUGUUUUUUCCAGCCCCUGGACCCCUUAAAAACCAGUAGCUUUUCUCCACAAGCCUUAGCAUUUAAUCUCAAACAAAAGAUCAAAGAAAAAAUUUCAAUAGUUUGGAACCUAAAGUCGUAAGAUACUAAACCUAUUUACCAUAAUGCUUAUGAGCGGCUGAUUUCACUUGAUUUAAAAUGACUAUGUUAUGAACGAGAUUAAUUAUAUUUUUUCAACAACUCUUGUGCUGUAGUAUUAGUAUGUAAUUCUUAUGUUCAUUGAAAAAAAAUCUCUCCAUGCUCCAAGCCACUAUGACAACACAUAAUUAUUUUCCCCAAGUUCAUUCCAUAGCAAUGUCACCUAUCACUGUCCUUGUUGGAUCAUUCUAUGAGAUGUUGAUGAUGUAUUUUUGAUUUGUUAAAUUUUAUUAUUGAGGUAUCAUAUAAUAUUGUUAAUGUUAAAUUAUAUGUCAAAAAAUUAUGCAA